rnacentral:rRNA from 1 species
AGAGUUUGAUCCUGGCUCAGGAUGAACGCUGGCGGCGUGCCUAACACAUGCAAGUCGAACGAAGCACCUUUUAAGAUUCUUCGGAUGAUUGAUUGGUGACUGAGUGGCGGACGGGUGAGUAACGCGUGGGUAACCUGCCCUGUACAGGGGGAUAACAGUUGGAAACGGCUGCUAAUACCGCAUAAGCGCACGGGAGGACAUCCUCUUGUGUGAAAAACUCCGGUGGUACAGGAUGGGCCCGCGUCUGAUUAGCUGGUUGGCAGGGUAACGGCCUACCAAGGCGACGAUCAGUAGCCGGUCUGAGAGGAUGAACGGCCACAUUGGAACUGAGACACGGUCCAAACUCCUACGGGAGGCAGCAGUGGGGAAUAUUGCACAAUGGGGGAAACCCUGAUGCAGCAACGCCGCGUGAGUGAAGAAGUAUUUCGGUAUGUAAAGCUCUAUCAGCAGGGAAGAUAAUGACGGUACCUGACUAAGAAGCUCCGGCUAAAUACGUGCCAGCAGCCGCGGUAAUACGUAUGGAGCAAGCGUUAUCCGGAUUUACUGGGUGUAAAGGGUGCGUAGGUGGCAGUGCAAGUCAGAUGUGAAAGGCCGGGGCUCAACCCCGGAGCUGCAUUUGAAACUGCGCGGCUAGAGUACAGGAGAGGCAGGCGGAAUUCCUAGUGUAGCGGUGAAAUGCGUAGAUAUUAGGAGGAACACCAGUGGCGAAGGCGGCUUACUGGACGGUAACUGACGUUGAGGCUCGAAAGCGUGGGGAGCAAACAGGAUUAGAUACCCUGGUAGUCCACGCC